AGUCUACUGAGGGCGCAGAAUGUGGUUCUAUCUACCCCACCUGUACCUCAGUUUGGAAAUAGUUUCUGUGAUUCCCUCGAGAUACUGUUUAUUUCAUAUCUCUUUCAUAGAUUGCUUUCCAGAUGUACUGUGCCUUAUAUUCUUUGCCCAUCACUGAUUUCAGUACAGCUCUUCCACAAUAAUACCGUUUAUGCCCCAGAUAGGAAAUACCCCCUAAAAUUUUGUUAGCUACAGUCAAGGACAGAUUACUUGGACACUGUCACAGGACGACCCCAUACAUCCCUUUGUUCGCGCCCAGGAUGCCAUUUUGUGUAUGAUUUGUAUCCUCAAACCAUCUUUAACUGCUGGCUCCAAGAUAUUAUAGAUCCAGUUCUGCUUUCC